rnacentral:rRNA from 1 species
GUCUACGACUAUGCCACCCUGAACGUGCCUGAUAUCAUCUGAUCUUGGGAGCUAAGCAGGGUCGGGCCUGGUUAGUACUUGGAUGGGAGACUACUUAGGAAUACCGGGUGCUGUAGGUG